UAGUCCACGCCGUAAACGAUGAAUACUAGGUGUCGGGGUCCGACAGGACUUCGGUGCCGCAGCUAACGCAUUAAGUAUUCCACCUGGGGAGUACGAUCGCAAGAUUGAAACUCAAAGGAAUUGACGGGGGCCCGCACAAGCGGUGGAGCAUGUGGUUUAAUUCGAAGCAACGCGAAGAACCUUACCAAAUCUUGACAUCCUAAUGAUCGUUUCUUAAUCGAAACUUUCCUUUCGGGGACAUUAGAGACAGGUGGUGCAUGGUUGUCGUCAGCUCGUGUCGUGAGAUGUUGGGUUAAGUCCCGCAACGAGCGCAACCCUUAUCCUUAGUAGCCAGCAAGUAAUGUUGGGGACUCUAGGGAGACUGCCGGGGAUAACUCGGAGGAAGGUGGGGAUGACGUCAAAUCAUCAUGCCCCUUAUGAUUUGGGCUACACACGUGCUACAAUGGUAUCUACAAGGGAAGCAAGCAGGUGACUGUAAGCAAACCUCAAAAAGGAUAAUCUCAGUUCGGA
rnacentral:rRNA from 1 species